ACCUCGGUAGCUUAGUUGGUUGAAGCAACAGGCCGUAAACCUGAGAUACCUGGGUUCGUAUCGCAGCUGAAGUU